CCUAGGGUGGCUGCAGUGGGGAAUAUUGGACAAUGGGCGAAAGCCUGAUCCAGCCAUGCCGCGUGUGUGAAGAAGGCCUUCGGGUUGUAAAGCACUUUCAGUGGGGAAGAAAGCCUUGGGGCUAAUACCCUCGAGGAAGGACAUCACCCACAGAAGAAGCACCGGCUAACUCCGUGCCAGCAGCCGCGGUAAUACGGAGGGUGCGAGCGUUAAUCGGAAUUACUGGGCGUAAAGCGCGCGUAGGCGGUCUGAUAAGCCGGUUGUGAAAGCCCCGGGCUCAACCUGGGAACGGCAUCCGGAACUGUCAGGCUAGAGUGCAGGAGAGGAAGGUAGAAUUCCCGGUGUAGCGGUGAAAUGCGUAGAGAUCGGGAGGAAUACCAGUGGCGAAGGCGGCCUUCUGGACUGACACUGACGCUGAGGUGCGAAAGCGUGGGUAGCAAACAGGAUUAGAUACCCUAGUAGUCC
rnacentral:rRNA from 1 species